GCCUGGGUGGUUUAGUCGGUUAAGCGUCUGACUUCAGCUCAGGUCAUGAUCUUGUAGUUUGUGAGUUCGAGCCCCGCAUCAGGCU
rfam:Felis catus isolate Cinnamon breed Abyssinian chromosome B2, whole genome shotgun sequence.